rnacentral:rRNA from 1 species
UACAGAGGUCCCAAGCGUUGUUCGGAUUCACUGGGCGUAAAGGGUGCGUAGGCGGUCGGGUAAGUCUGGCGUGAAAUCUCCAAGCCUAACUUGGAAACUGCGUUGGAUACUAUCCGGCUCGAGGAAUGGAGGGGAGACUGGAAUACUUGGUGUAGCAGUGAAAUGCGUAGAUAUCAAGUGGAACACCAGUGGCGAAGGCGAGUCUCUGGAACGCAACUGACGCUGAGACGCGAAAGCGUGGGGAGCAAACAGG